rnacentral:rRNA from 1 species
UACGGGGGGGGGCAAGCGUUGUUCGGAAUUACUGGGCGUAAAGGGCUCGUAGGCGGCCAACUAAGUCGGAUGUGAAAUCCCCAGGCUCAACCUGGGAACUGCAUCCGAUACUGGAUGGCUUGAAUUCGGGAGAGGGAUGCAGAAUUCCAGGUGUAGCGGUGAAAUGCGUAGAUAUCUGGAGGAAUACCGGUGGCGAAGGCGGCAUCCUGGACCGACAUUGACGCUGAGGAGCGAAAGCCAGGGGAGCAAAGCGGG